rnacentral:rRNA from 1 species
GAUUCUGGCUCAGGAUGAACGCUAGCGGCAGGCUUAACACAUGCAAGUCGAGGGGCAGCGGGAUGUAGCAAUACAUUGCCGGCGACCGGCGGAUGGGUGCGUAACGCGUAUGCAACCUACCUUAUACAGGGGAAUAACCUUUCGAAAGGGAGACUAACACCCCAUGGUAUUGAUUUAAGGCAUCUUAGAUUAAUUAAAUAUUUAUAGGUAUAAGAUGGGCAUGCGUAUGAUUAGCUAGUUGGUAAGGUAACGGCUUACCAAGGCGACGAUCAUUAGGGGUUCUGAGAGGAAGGUCCCCCCACACUGGUACUGAGACACGGACCAGACUCCUACGGGAGGCAGCAGUGAGGAAUAUUGGUCAAUGGGCGCAAGCCUGAACCAGCCAUGCCGCGUGCAGGAAAGACGGCCUUAUGGGUUGUAAACUGCUUUUACAUAAGACUAACCGUAUAUUUGCGAAUAUACCUGAAUGUAUUAUGAGAAUAAGGAUCGGCUAACUCCGUGCCAGCCGCUGC